AACGGCCGUACCAUGCUGAAUAUACCGGUUCUCGUUAGAUCACUGAAGUUAAGCAUCAUUGGGCGCGGUCAGUACUUGGGUGGGUGACCACCUGGGAACACCGCGUGCCGUU
rnacentral:rRNA from 1 species